UUCCUGGUGGCUCAGAUGGUAAAGAAUCUGCCUGCAAUGUGGGAGACCCAGGUUCAAUACUUGGCUUGGAAA
rnacentral:tRNA from 1 species